GACGAACGCUGGCGGCGUGCUUAACACAUGCAAGUCGAACGGAAAGGCCCCUUUGGGGGUACUCGAGUGGCGAACGGGUGAGUAACACGUGAGUAACCUGCCCUUGACUUCGGGAUAACUUCAGGAAACUGGGGCUAAUACCGGAUAGGAAUCCUUGCUGCAUGGUGGGGGUUGGAAAGCUUCGGCGGUUUUGGAUGGACUCGCGGCUUAUCAGCUUGUUGGUGGGGUAGUGGCUUACCAAGGCUUUGACGGGUAGCCGGCCUGAGAGGGCGACCGGCCACAUUGGGACUGAGAGACGGCCCAGACUCCUACGGGAGGCAGCAGGGGGGAAGAUUGCACAAUGGGCGGAAGCCUGAUGCAGCAACGCCGCGUGCGGGAUGACGGCCUUCGGGUUGAAAACCGCUUUCAGCAGGGGCGAAGCUUGUGGUGACGGUACCUGCAGAAGAAGCACCGGCUAACUACGUG
rnacentral:rRNA from 1 species